rnacentral:rRNA from 1 species
GACGAACGCUGGCGGCGUGCUUAACACAUGCAGGUCGAACGGAAAGGCCCUGCUUUUGUGGGGUGCUCGAGUGGCGAACGGGUGAGUAACACGUGAGUAACCUGCCCUUGACUUUGGGAUAACUUCAGGAAACUGGGGCUAAUACCGGAUAGGAGCUCCUGCUGCAUGGUGGGGGUUGGAAAGUUUCGGCGGUUGGGGAUGGACUCGCGGCUUAUCAGCUUGUUGGUGGGGUAGUGGCUUACCAAGGCUUUGACGGGUAGCCGGCCUGAGAGGGUGACCGGCCACAUUGGGACUGAGAUACGCCCCAGACUCCUACGGGAGGCAGCGGGGGGGAAUAUUGCACAAUGGGCGGAAGCCUGAGGCGGCAACGCCGCGUGCGGAAUGACGGCCUUCGGGUGGUAAACCGCUUUCGCCUGUGACGAAGCGUGAGUGACGGUAAUGGGUAAAGAAGCACCGGCUAACUACGUG